CUCACCCUGCGCUGUAAGUCACAUGGAUCAUGUCAGCCAGGCGAAGGUUGAAUGGCUCUUGACAGACAAAUGAACGAUGACCAAGUCAAUUUCAUAUGCUUUAAAAAAUAUAUAUAACUGGAAUAAAGGUCAGUUCAGGAGUGUAUACCUGAUGUGCAUUGUUUUAUUUAUCAGGGGUUUAUAGCCUAAAGCUACCUGGGGAAUAGUUGAGUACACGGAGGUCCGGCUCCUCCUCUGCCAGCACACGGAACAUCAUGUCUCGGGCUGCCUUGCCUGUGCAGUAUAGCACCCAGGAGGGGAGGGGCUGCAGAGCACACAGCGAGCUCACGUUGACUACACAGCGCCGCAGCCCCUGUCGUCGUGGGAACACCUGCAGCAGGCCGGCUGUCAGGCUGAGGGCGGAGCUUACGUUGAGUGACAGGUAGGAGUCCACCUCCGCCAUGUUGGUGAAACUCUGGGCGUAGCGCGACACGUCUCCCAGAGAGGCUGGAGGGGGAGGGGAAUGGGAAGAUGUCAGAUUAUACAACGGUUGAAUUAUAUCACUUAAUUGCAGUGUGUGGACUAGGCCUACUAGGCUGUAUAGACCGACUAUAUUGUAAUUUUUGGGAGAUUUGAUGAGCACAAUCAAAUACAAUUAGAUUUGAUUAAUAAAUAAAUGAGUAUCUAAAGAUGUAUACAUCAUGAGACCUAAUUUGAAAAUCUGUAAACUGAACACUUUGUUGGAUAAUUGUCAUACUUAGUAGACGUAUGGAAGUCAAGCAAGCAGGAAGGCAGUAACAGGUCUACGACAACACAACGAAUUACCAACCCUGCCCUGCCCGCAUCCGACGAAGCCAAAUUUGCCUGGAGUUCCCGCAAUUUCUCAUCGGAGCGAGCCGCCAAAACAAGCACCGACCUCGGUUUGAGCAACAGGGAAAUCUCUUUCGCUAUGGUUCGGCCAAAUCCUUUGGACGCCCCGGUGAUGAUGCACAGCGCUCUCCCUAGGUCCUUCGCGUCUGGUAAAAUUACGUUGGAGAUACCAUUGGCCUGCAUUUUGGUGAAAUGCGAGCGGAGAGCUACAGCUUUUACUUAUAAAGGCUGGCAGAGUUUUGUAAAGAACCGUUUAAAAUUAUUUUUUCAAAUCGAUUAGAUUGAGAAACGGAUAUGGAUGCCAAAAAAUAAACAUGAAAAAUGUGCACGCCUCUUAUCCCGCCCACUUUAUGGUGUUCAAGCAAAUUCGCGAUUUUAGUUUGUAAAAUUAAUAUGCAAAUGUUUUAUUAUAUGCCUAGAUGUGGGCUGUCCUGGCCAAAAUGUGUUCUUAUCAAUGAUGUAUCUUAUUGUAGCGAUGUCCGCGAUAUCGCUACAUUAUUAAAGAAAAUGAAAAUAUAAGAUAAGACAACAGAGGUAAAGACAGUUUCAAGUUGGAUAUUCGACGGAUAUUCGCGCUUUCAAACCUCAAUAGCCACUUGAGCCACAGACUCCAAAUAAGUGUCAUGAUGUUGGAAAAAUUGCGCACAACUUUGCAUAGGUCUUAUUUUCACGAUUUGGAUAUUAAUUCGUUUCUCAAAGCUAAUAAACAUGUGUAAAUGUGAGCAGCAUUUUGUAUUCCUAGUUGAAUUAGUUAGGGAGCGUAAACAAAGUACAAACUUUUUUACAUUCAAAUUUCAAUAGGUCAUUGGUCAUGUGACCUAGUGACUUCAAACAAGGUUCAGAAUGUCCACUGACUACCCUUCUAUAUUGCACACCCUUUAGUUAGUCCAUUUUCAUCUCACAGGAUUUUACAUGAAUUUUUCCAAACGUAAAGUUUCAAUAGCUCAUUGGUCGUGGGACCUAGUGACUUCAAACAAGGUUCAGAAUGUCCAUUGAGUGGGCCUUCAUAUUACACACCCUUUAGUUUGUCCAUUUUCAUCUCACAUGGUUUUACAUACAUUUUUCAAAAAUGUAGAAUUUCAAUAGCUCCUUGGUCAUUUGACCUAGUGACUUCAAACAAGGUUCAGAAUGUCCAACGACUACCCUUCUAUAUUGCACACCCUUUAGUUUGUCCAUUUUCAUCUCACAUGGUUUUACAACAAAAAAAUCUACAUUUAGAAUUUCAAUAGCUCCUUGUUCAUGUGACCUGGUGACUUCCAACAAGUUUCAGAAUGUCCACUCAGUGGGCCUACACAUUGCACACCCUUUAAUUUGUCAAUUUUCAUCUCACAUGGUUUUACAUGAAUUUUUCAAAAUGUCAAAUUUCAAUAGCUCCUUGGUCAUGUGACCUAAUGUCCGCUGACUACCCUUCUAUAUUGCAAACUCUUGUUUGUUUACUGUAAAAUCACGCGCUGUAACGUACAUUUUUCAUAGUUUCACAUUUGCAAUAGUUCCUUGGUCAUGUCAAUUACACACCUAAGAAGCAUGCAGUGGAUAUACACCCAUAUUGCAUAACCUCUAGUUAUGUCUCUUCUAUAUUGUUGUACAUUAUUAUUAGUUUGACAAUUACGGGGUUCAGUCCAGUGUUGUGUUUACCCUUUUCUUUAAUAUUUAUCUAUAAUAAUUGGUAGUUCUAAGUACUUAUUUUCCAUGUUUUUUCCACAGUAUUUAACAGUGGUACGCAAUAGGAGAGAGACAGAUAAUAUCUCCUUUCGUCGUUAAUAUCAACCAUAAAGGAAAAGGGCAAAGUAUGAGAGUCAUGCUAUUUGAUUUGAUUUGAUUCUCUUUUGGACUAAUCUUCCGAAAGUCCUUAAACAUUCAAAUACAAUUUAUAAUACGAACACAUUUUCACAUAUAACACACUAUUACAAACAUACAUAAUAUACUGACAUAGUGACCCAAUAAAUACUCAAUGUAAAAAAUAUUGAUUCUUCAUCUACUCUAGUCCCACAACAUUUCUAUGUAGUAUAUUUAAAUCGUUUUAAAAUAAUGUUUAAAUUUAUGUAUUGAAACGUUUCUGGUUUGCUAAGUUAAUUUAUUCCAUUUCUUUAUUGCUCUAAAUCGAAAUGUUAUUUUGCCUAUUUCUCUUUUCUGUCUAGAUAACGCAUAGAUGUUGGACAAUCUAUUGUUACUAUUUACGAAAUGUCUGUCUCUUAACAACUGAAUACUGUUGUGAAAAGAACUUGGCCGUUUUAAAUUAUGUAUAUUAUGAAAUAAAAUAAGCAUGUUUUUUUUCAA